rnacentral:misc_RNA from 1 species
AAGGUGAAGUUGCUUCCAAGAACAAAGCCAUUGGAAAAUUUGGAACCACCUACUGUUGAUCACAAGCAGGGAUACCAACAGCUGAGUAACUCUGCCAAUGGUCAUGUUGAAACUAGUGAAUUGCAUGGAAGUGUCAAUGCUGCAAAUUCUGGUUUAGCUAAUUUGGAGAGUGAGUAUCAGGUGAUAGAGCGUCCAAAAUUGAAUUUGAAGUCACGGUCGCAACCUGUUGAACAAUCUGAAGGGAACACAGAAAUGGGAAGGUGACUUCAAAUUCAAUUUUGGACGCUCUAUCAAGUGGUUCUGAAGGAGCGAGGAAUUGACAAUGCUGCUAUUAGAAACCAUGGCAUGGGUCAGCAUCCAGAUAGGGUCAAGCAUAAUCUUUCCAGGACUGAAAGAGUUCCUGAGCAUGCAGUUCCUAUUCAACAUGGUGAAAGGACUGACAAUAUUCCUCCAGAUCAAAGGACUGGAAAGAAAAUUGAGAGGAAAGAUCAGCAAGUCGACAUUGAGAGAGUUGAUAAACAGAGGAGGAAUUGGCGAAAUGAGAACUGGAGGAACAACAGGGAGACUGAGAGGCAGCAGCAGCCGCAAUUGCAGCAGGGGAGGCCUCCUUCACCUGAGACCUGGCGUAAGCCAGUUGAGCAACCAAAACCAGCCUCACCUGAUGCUACUGGUUUGCGCUAUGGAAAAACAGCUUCAGCCUUGGAGCUUGCCCAAGCA